rnacentral:rRNA from 1 species
GUUCGGAUUGUAGUCUGCAACCGACUACAUGAAGCUGGAAUCGCUAGUAAUCGCGGAUCAGAAUGCCGCGGUGAAUACGUUCCCGGGUCUUGUACACACCGCCCGUCACACCAUGGGAGUCGGAAAUGCCCGAAGUCUGUGACCCAACCUUAGGGAGGGAGCAGCCGAAGGCAGGUCGGAUGACUGGGGUGAAGUCGUAACAAGGUAAC